rnacentral:tRNA from 1 species
AGCUUUAUAUUCAAUAAUGAUAUUAGACUGCAAUUCUAAAGGAGUAUUUAUAUACUAAGGCUU